UUCGACACACUAUCAUUAACUGAAUCCAUAGGUUAAUGAGGCGAACCGGGGGAACUGAAACAUCUAAGUACCCCGAGGAAAAGAAAUCAACCGAGAUUCCCCCAGUAGCGGCGAGCGAACGGGGAGCAGCCCAGAGCCUGAAUCAGUGUGUGUGUUAGUGGAAGCGUCUGGAAAGGCGCGCGAUACAGGGUGACAGCCCCGUACACAAAAAUGCACAUGCUGUGAGCUCGAUGAGUAGGGCGGGACACGUGGUAUCCUGUCUGAAUAUGGGGGGACCAUCCUCCAAGGCUAAAUACUCCUGACUGACCGAUAGUGAACCAGUACCGUGAGGGAAAGGCGAAAAGAACCCCGGCGAGGGGAGUGAAAAAGAACCUGAAACCGUGUACGU
rnacentral:rRNA from 1 species